rnacentral:rRNA from 1 species
UACGAGGGGGGCAAGCGUUUGUUCGGAAUUAUUGGGCGUAAAGGGCGCGUAGGCGGUUCGUACAGUCAGGCGUGAAAUUCCUGGGCUCAACCUGGGGGCUGCGUUUUGAUACGUGCGGGCUUGAGUUCGGAAGAGGGUCGUGGAAUUCCCAGUGUAGAGGGUGAAAUUCGUAGAUAUUGGGGAAGAACACCGGUGGCGAAGGCGGCGACCUGGUCCGAUACUGACGCUGAGGCGCGGAAAGCGUGGGGAGCAAACAGG